rnacentral:rRNA from 1 species
GACCUGGCUGGGUGGUCCGCUUAACGGCGUGUACUGUCUGGCUGGGCCUUACCUCUUGGUGAGCCGGCGUAUUCUAUUUUAGAGUGCGCUGGGGAACCAGGACUUUUACCUUGAGAAAAUUAGAGUGUUCAAAGCAGGCCUAUGCCUGAAUACAUUAGCAUGGAAUAAUAGAAUAGGACU